UUGUAGUUCACACACAGGAAGAACAACAUACGUACCAGGAGAGCCGGAGGGAAGAGCAACGAGAAUGUAAACGGCGCCGGCGCGAAACGAUCACCGACGGAGAACGUUCCGGCCAUGCUGAACGAAAACGACAAUCGCGAGCCCGGCCACCUCCGAACGAGCAAUGACGCCAGACUCGCAACGCAAAAAAAAAAAUUACAACCAUUCCGCUUUGUGAAGAUGGAAUGGCAGCGAAAGCAGUUUGCUUUUCGUUUCAGAGGUUCGACUGUCGUCACCCUUCGCUGCCAUUCCACCUUCACAGAGUGGAAUGGUUGUCAUUACUUUUUUUUUUCGUAUGUUCUGCAGUUUAAAACUUUCCUUCUGUGCCUGUGAAUGUUCCGGCAAUGUCGGAAAAACGGAGGAAAGGAUACAAGGCUUGCUGCGCGGCUGCGUGAUGUGGCAGCUCGGGGAGCAACAGAAGGGCGAAAUUUUUCCGUUUCCCACUGGAAGAGAGACCAUUUCAGAGCAAGGGACUAUACGCCGACCCUGUCGUGGUCGGCUGUGCCAACUGCAGGAGUGAAAGAGUGGUCCCUGAUCGAUGAAGGUUCUGCGUUGCCGAAGCCAGGCUGAAAGCGGAAAAUAUACUCGCCAGAGACCGCGGGCGUCAUCGAUCGACUAAGAGAUGAUACACAAAAGUAUCGCAAGUCAGCGAAGUUAAAGAGCUGCCGAAAGAUUACCACGAAGGAAGCACUAGAGAAGUUGACGCAUUACGUGAGCCAAGAGUUCUACCAACUCUUGCAGCGCCAGGAGACGCUCCAUUAUCGCAAGAGGAAGGCAAAUAUAGGGGGAAAUGUUAUCCGGACCACGUUGGUGCGGUCGCGCAGUUGUGCGGUGUGUCCACUGUACUGAAAGAUAAGCUAAACAGCAGCCUACAAUAAGAACUAUUUUGCUCUAAUAAGUCUCGCAUAGACCUGCUGCAGCAUUUUUGCUAUGCGUGGCUUACGCUGCACCUAAACUACAUCAAUCUGGAUCUCAAAAAAACAGCGCGAGAGAAAACCCGCUGCAAAAAGAAAGCUUCCAAAAGCUUGAAAAUUAAGAAAAGUUUCGUUAAUGAUAUUUUAUUCUUUGUGUAAGUCCGAUAGCUCUCAGAGCGGUCUCCUAAUUAGCCCAUCUUUAGAAAAUAUUUCAGCAUAUUUCAACAUUUGCAUAUACAUCGUGCAGCGUAUACUUUCUGCAGACAAUCAUUGCUCCCACACUUGCACCCUCCUCUUUGAAGAUUAUUACGCAGCUGCCAUGCACGGAUCAUCGGAUGCUAGAAUCUCCUUGAGCUCAUUUCAGUAAAGUUGUGCAAGUACUGCUGUUCCUCGACGCCCUUGACUUCAGUGGUUUCAUUAUUACAGCAAAAAUGGGAGGAGGGGGUCUCCUUUCGCAAGGUCACGAAUAAGCUUAAUAAGCAGAGAAAAUAUGCUGUGCCAGAAGCGAGUGUUCUAGAAAAGUUUAAAUACUUUCCGCUCCUUAUUGUGUGGACACCGAAACUGUCAUGACGGAGGACCUCCAGCGAAUGUUGAAACUUGUAACGUAGCUCUAACACCUGUCCUAUACUUCAAACAAGACGCACGAAACUGAGCCUAUAGACGCUGUUAAAGAGAGUCUAUUAGAGGAAGGUAUUGAAAACCAUUCAAAAUAGAUGUCGUUCUGAGCAGGUUGCCCUGACGCAUUGAAUGCAGCCGACUUGCGUUGCUUUUAGAAAA